UCGCCGCCGGCGUGGGAGCCGUGCGCCGCCGGCGUUGCGGGUUCCGGCGGUUCGGCCGCCGCGGACCGGCCGAUCAGGCCGGCCACGGCGACC
rnacentral:tRNA from 1 species